rnacentral:rRNA from 1 species
GAUCAUGGCUUAGGAUGAACGCUGGCGGCGUGCCUAACACAUGCAAGUCGAACGAAGCAAUUGAAGGAAGUUUUCGGAUGGAAUUCGAUUGACUGAGUGGCGGACGGGUGAGUAACGCGUGGAUAACCUGCCUCACACUGGGGGAUAACAGUUAGAAAUGACUGCUAAUACCGCAUAAGCGCACAGUACCGCAUGGUACAGUGUGAAAAACUCCGGUGGUGUGAGAUGGAUCCGCG